rnacentral:rRNA from 1 species
GGAGCAAAACUCAAAAAAAUAAGUCUCAGUUCGGAUUGAAGGCUGAAAUUCGCCUUCAUGAAGCCGGAAUUGCUAGUAAUGGCAGGUCAGCAUACUGCCGUGAAUACGUUCCCGGGCCUUGUACACACCGCCCGUCACACCAUGAGAGUUGGGAAUACCCGAAGCCUGUGAGCUAACUUUUAGAGGCAGCAGUCGAAGGUAGAAUCAAUGAUUGGGGUGAAGUCGUAACAAGGUAGC